rnacentral:rRNA from 1 species
AUUGAACGCUGGCGGCAUGCCUUACACAUGCAAGUCGAACGGCAGCACGGGUGCUUGCACCUGGUGGCGAGUGGCGAACGGGUGAGUAAUACAUCGGAACGUACCUUAUCGUGGGGGAUAACGCAGCGAAAGCUGUGCUAAUACCGCAUACGCCCUGAGGGGGAAAGCGGGGGAUCGCAAGACCUCGCGCGAUUAGAGCGGCCGAUGCCUGAUUAGCUAGUUGGUGGGGUAAAAGCCCACCAAGGCGACGAUCAGUAGCUGGUCUGAGAGGACGAUCAGCCACACUGGGACUAGGACACGGCCCAGACUCCUACGGGAGGUAGCAGUGGGGAAUUUUGGACAAUGGGGGCAACCCUGAUCCAGCAAUGCCGCGUGAGUGAAGAAGGCCUUCGGGUUGUAAAGCUCUUUUGUCAGGGAAGAAACACCGGCUCUAACACAGUCCGGGAAUGACGGUACCUGAAGAAUAAGCACCGGCUAACUACGUGCCAGCCGCCGCGGUAA